AGCUUGCUGGGUGGAUCAGUGGCGAACGGGUGAGUAACACGUGAGCAAUCUGCCCUUGACUCUGGGAUAAGCGCUGGAAACGGCGUCUAAUACUGGAUAUGAGCUGUGGCCGCAUGGUCGGCAGUUGGAAAGAAUUUCGGUCAAGGAUGAGCUCGCGGCCUAUCAGCUUGUUGGUGAGGUAAUGGCUCACCAAGGCGUCGACGGGUAGCCGGCCUGAGAGGGUGACCGGCCACACUGGGACUGAGACACGGCCCAGACUCCUACGGGAGGCAGCAGUGGGGAAUAUUGCACAAUGGGCGCAAGCCUGAUGCAGCAACGCCGCGUGAGGGAUGACGGCCUUCGGGUUGUAAACCUCUUUUAGCAGGGAAGAAGCGAAAGUGACGGUACCUGCAGAAAAAGCACCGGCUAACUACGUGCCAGCAGCCGCGGUAAUACGUAGGGUGCAAGCGUUAUCCGGAAUUAUUGGGCGUAAAGAGCUCGUAGGCGGUUUGUCGCGUCUGCUGUGAAAACUGGAGGCUCAACCUCCAGCCUGCAGUGGGUACGGGCAGACUAGAGUGCGGUAGGGGAGAUUGGAAUUCCUGGUGUAGCGGUGGAAUGCGCAGAUAUCAGGAGGAACACCGAUGGCGAAGGCAGAUCUCUGGGCCGUAACUGACGCUGAGGAGCGAAAGGGUGGGGAGCAAACAGGCUUAGAUACCCUGGUAGUCCACCCCGUAAACGUUGGGAACUAGUUGUGGGGUCCAUUCCACGGAUUCCGUGACGCAGCUAACGCAUUAAGUUCCCCGCCUGGGGAGUACGGCCGCAAGGCUAAAACUCAAAGGAAUUGACGGGGACCCGCACAAGCGGCGGAGCAUGCGGAUUAAUUCGAUGCAACGCGAAGAACCUUACCAAGGCUUGACAUAUACGAGAACGGGCCAGAAAUGGUCAACUCUUUGGACACUCGUAAACAGGUGGUGCAUGGUUGUCGUCAGCUCGUGUCGUGAGAUGUUGGGUUAAGUCCCGCAACGAGCGCAACCCUCGUUCUAUGUUGCCAGCACGUUAUGGUGGGAACUCAUGGGAUACUGCCGGGGUCAACUCGGAGGAAGGUGGGGAUGACGUCAAAUCAUCAUGCCCCUUAUGUCUUGGGCUUCACGCAUGCUACAAUGGCCGGUACAAAGGGCUGCAAUACCGUAAGGUGGAGCGAAUCCCAAAAAGCCGGUCCCAG
rnacentral:rRNA from 2 species